rnacentral:rRNA from 1 species
GACGAACGCUGGCGGCGUGCCUAAUACAUGCAAGUCGAACGCAGGGGGGACGGGUGAGUAACACGUGGGUAACCUUCCAUCAGAGGGGAUAACACUUGGAAACAGGUGCUAAACCGAUACUGAUGGAUGGACCCGCGGUGCGUUAGCUAGUUGGCGAGGCAACGGCUCACCAAGGCCACGAUGCAUAGCCGACCUGAGAGUAUGUUCAGCCCCACUGGGACUGAGACACGGCCCAGACUACACUGGGAGGCGGCGGUAGGGAAUCGUCUGCAAUGGAAGAGAGUCUGACCGAGCCACGCCGCGUGAGUGGAGAAGGUUUUCGGCUCGUAAUACUCUGUUGUUAUAGAAGCGGUAUCUAACCAGAAAGCCACGGCUAACUCCGUGCCAGCAGCCGCGGUAAUAC